rnacentral:lncRNA from 1 species
UAAUUUGAUGGCUGAUGUAGCAAUGUCAAAUUUUUGCUUUCUCCAACUCACAUGUUUUUUUGUUAUAAAUGAAAUUUGUAUGACCCAUUUUUAGUCUAAAUGUUUUUUCAAGAUUUAUAAUUGGUGCAUUAAUAUGACUCACACAAUAAAAUAUUUAAAGAAUUGACAUAUCUGCUGGAAUUUUAAUAUGUCAAAUUUGACAGCAAAGGGCUCAUAUGUCAAUCCAUGUAAGAUUGACAUAUAUGUUGAAGCUUUUUUCUAUUUUCAAAUUU